CCUACGGGGUGCUGCAGUGGGGAAUAUUGGACAAUGGGCGAAAGCCUGAUCCAGCCAUGCCGCGUGUGUGAAGAAGGCCUUCGGGUUGUAAAGCACUUUCAGUGGGGAAGAAAGCCUUGGGGCUAAUACCCUCGAGGAAGGACAUCACCCACAGAAGAAGCACCGGCUAACUCCGUGCCAGCAGCCGCGGUAAUACGGAGGGUGCGAGCGUUAAUCGGAAUUACUGGGCGUAAAGCGCGCGUAGGCGGUCUGAUAAGCCGGUUGUGAAAGCCCCGGGCUCAACCUGGGAACGGCAUCCGGAACGGUCAGGCUAGAGUGCAGGAGAGGAAGGUAGAAUUCCCGGUGUAGCGGUGAAAUGCGUAGAGAUCGGGAGGAAUACCAGUGGCGAAGGCGGCCUUCUGGACUGACACUGACGCUGAGGUGCGAAAGCGUGGGUAGCAAACAGGAUUAGAUACCCUUGUAGUC
rnacentral:rRNA from 1 species